AAUCAAGGGAGAGUAGGUAAUACCGGCUUUACGGGCGAAUAUGACGUUUUAGACCGAAAAAUGAGAUAAACCGUUGGAAUUGCGAGUGACGGAUUUAUUUUUGAAAACGUUCCAUGAUUAUGUAAGUCCUUCACUGAGACACGUCGGACUCGUUUUAGACACGGAGCACAGCGACGGUUCUAUAGGUUUUUACUAUGCGUGUGCGUGUGUGUUAUUUUUUUUUUUCGUGUCUGUGAGCACAUUUUUACCACAAAUUUCGCAUCAGUCUAUCAAGUGGUGUAACACCUUUUUCCGAAAGGAAAUUUAACUUGGCCGGUGCAUUGCAUAUGCUGAUUUGUAUUCGUCU